CAGGCCUAACACAUGCAAGUCGAACGAUGCUUUCGGGCAUAGUGGCGCACGGGUGCGUAACGCGUGGGAAUCUGCCCUGGGGUCUGGGAUAACCGUUGGAAACGACGGCUAAUACCGGAUGAUGAUGAAAAUCCAAAGAUUUAUCGCCCUGGGAUGAGCCCGCGUCCGAUUAGGUAGUUGGUGGGGUAAGAGCCUACCAAGCCGACGAUCGGUAGCUGGUCUGAGAGGAUGAUCAGCCACACUGGGACUGAGACACGGCCCAGACUCCUACGGGAGGCAGCAGUGGGGAAUAUUGGACAAUGGGCGAAAGCCUGAUCCAGCAAUGCCGCGUGAGUGAUGAAGGCCUUAGGGUUGUAAAGCUCUUUUACCCGGGAUGAUAAUGACAGUACCGGGAGAAUAAGCUCCGGCUAACUCCGUGCCAGCAGCCGCGGUAAU
rnacentral:rRNA from 1 species